rnacentral:misc_RNA from 1 species
UCAAGCAACUUUCCCUCCCAACAUUUCCCAUUGGCCUUGUUCUCUCCACUGAACCCUCAACAACAGCUUUUCUCUUUCUCACAAUGGCUGUGGCUAUGGCUUUUGCUAAUUCUCUUCUUCUUAACAGCAAGGCCAAAGUCGUCGAAAAUCACCCCUUUUCUUUUGGUUUGGAUACUACCCAACUCCACAUUCUAUACAAGGAAAGAAGACGGAGAUUGUCAUCUUAUAGCACCAUAAUCAUUCCCCGAGCAUCACCGGCUGCAACCAUAGAGGAUGAAAAUUACAAUGAGAGUGAUACCAUUCCAACUCCCAAAGUAAUAAUUGACCAAGACUCUGAUCCCGAUGCAACUGUCGUUGAGAUAACCUUUGGUGAUCGUCUUGGAGCUCUUAUAGAUACUGUAAGUAUCUGUUUCUUGCUGACAUAACCAUGUCUUUUCUUUUUUCAAAUAUUUAUUUCAGAUUUUCUGAUUAAGAAACUUGUGGUUCUGACUGAUCUAGUAUUACAUUUUGGUUAGCAUUAUAGAAUAAUUGUAUUGAAAUAUGGCAAAUGUGCUACAGAUGAAUGCACUUAAAAACCUUGGGCUAAAUGUUUUGAAGGCUAAUGUUUUUCUGGAUUCUUCUGGGAAGCACAAUAAAUUUGCCAUCACCAAAGCGUAAGUUAUAUGUUGUACUCUUUCAUGUUUUUCACUUAUUUUCGGUCAACUAGUGUUAAUUUAUGUUACUGUUCUAACCCCACCCAACCCCUCUUCUUUUAAUUCGUUGUCAUUGUCCCUCUCUGGUUCAUCAGAUUGUCAUGUGUCUGUAUCCUAAAAGUUUUAAACUGUGUCCUUUAAAAAAAAAAAAAAAUUCCACACCUGGUUUCUGAAGUAAUUAUUCUCAGCUGAUGAAGCUACUUGAAAGUGUAAUUGAUAAUGCUGCAUGUGAAAUUGAUAAUGCUGCGAGAGAAUAUUCAUUUUUUUUUUUCAAAAAGAUAUGAUUCUUUAUUCAAUCCACUGUUUCUAAUGAGCUUCAUGGACCAGUUCUUGUUAUGGCUUUUUUCCGGUGAAUAUUAUUGGCUCAGCGGUAGAGCCUUUUUCUCAGUGAUACAGGUAGAAAAGUUGAAGAUCCAGAGCUGCUUGAGGCAAUUCGAUUGACAAUCAUAAAUAAUCUGCUUCAGUAUCACCCUGAAUCAAGUUCUCAAUUAGCAAUGGGAGUUGCCUUCGGUGUAGAGCCACCAAAACAACAGGUUUCUUACUUGUCAUCCCUUUUUCAAUUUAUUGCAUUUCUGAAGUUCUUGGCAUUUCUCCCUUGUAUAACAUUUUUUUAUAUGCAAAUCGAUGUUUUUGGAUAUCUGUCUUAUAUCAGACAGCCUAUCUACAGAUACCUAUCUCCUCCAACUUUCUUUGCCCUUGUAAUGAAACUGAAAUCAUGAGGAAAUGAAUUUUAGAUACUGUUAUUGAGGGCAUUAACACUUGUGUGCUAUCAAACUUUGCUCAAAAUUAUGAUAUGUGAUUUCUCAGGUUGAUGUGGAUAUAGCAACUCACAUAAACAUUUAUGAUGACAAUCCUGACCGAAGCUUGCUUUAUGUGGAGACCGCUGAUCGCCCUGGAUUGUUGGUGGAUCUUGUAAAGAUUAUCACUGACAUUAAUAUUACAGUUGAAUCAGGAGAAUUUGACACUGAGGGCUUGUUGGCAAAGGCAAAGUUCCAUGUUAGCUACAAGGGAAAAGCCAUCAUCAAACCUCUUCAACAGGUAAUUCUCACAUCAGAUGUGUUUUACAGAAUCAGAGUAUGAUAUUUGGCCUACAAACAUUUUGAGCCUUGUAUGAUGCAUCUAAGAAAGGCUGUAUUUGAAUUUGUAGCUGAUCAUGGUUUUAAUUAUCAACCGUUCCAAUUCUGUUGUUUAAAACAUGAAUAACUAUUUAGUCCUGAUAUUAGUUCAUAAUUAUUAGUAGGUUCCUGUUGUUUGAAAAUCGAACUAAUUGAUCCUUAUAUUUGAUUUAGUAAAUUAUAUAGUCCAUCCAUUCAUUCUUCCAUUAAUUAACUGUUAAAAAAACAAUCAAAGGUUUAAAAAUGCAUGUGAAAUUCUAAAAAUACCCCAUUAACAAAUGAUUUUUCUUCUCAAGCAAAAAGUUAUUUAAAGAAACAAUUUUCAAACAAUUUUUUCUAUUUUUUUCAAGAAAGAUAAUUUCAAAGAAAAAAAUUAUUAAUAGAGAGUAUUUUUAAAAUUUCACAUGCAUUUUAGACUUUAGAAUGCUUUUUUGACGGUUGACUAAUGAAAAAGUGGAUGUCGAGAAAUAAUUCACUAAAUCAAAUGUCACGGGCUAAUUAGUUC